rnacentral:lncRNA from 10 species
UUUGCAAAUCUCAGUCCUUUUCAGGCAUAAUGCAACAUUAUAAAAUUACCUCAAGAGCCGUGGGUCUGGACCUAGCCAAAAUAAGUUCUCUUCAAACAAGCGACUGCAGAAAUAUGUUGAUCUUUGGAACUCACAGUUGGCAGCUGGUGUGAAUUCUUCUCAGGGAAGAAGAAACUAGCAAGUUUAAGGCAACAGGGCUUUGGGCAGGUUGGAGUGGGGCAGUAGUCUGCAUAAGCAGAUUUCAACUUUAGGUAAUGAUUCUGGUAACAAUGUUAAGGGUAUAUUAGACAGGAAAGAAACUAGAAUCAGAGAAACCAAUAAAGAGGAAGCUGCUGCAAUAGUCCAGAAAUAAUACCUGUUGUGAUUAAGACAGAGGAAGAGGGGUUCAGGAGAAGAAGGAAGAUUCUGGAACUUGGUGAAGGUAGGAGCAGCAAGCCGAAGACAGAAUUUCUCCCAAGAAACUCUAACCUAAUUGUAGAGUGUUUCCUGUUGCUGAGAGAAGAGAUUGCAGAACGUGGUAAAGGAAGCUGAGGAAUGUUGCAAAAUCUUUAAAGUGAGCAGUGGUUGUCAGGCCUCUGAGCCCAAGCUAAGCCAUCGCAUCCCUGGUGACUUGCACGUAUACACCUAGGUGGCCUGAAGUAACCGAAGAAUCACAAAAGAAGUGAAAACGCCCUGCCCCGCCUUAACUGAUGACAUUCCACCACAGAAGAAGUGAAAAUGGCCAGUCGUUGCCUUAACUGAUGACACUGUCUUGUGAAAGUCCUUUUCCUGGCUCAUCCUGGCUCAAAAGCUCCCCUACUGAACACCUUGUGACCCCCACUCCUGCCCGCCAGAGAACAAUCCCCCUUUGACUGUAAUUUUCCUUUACCUACCCAAAUCUUAUAAAACGGCCCCACCCCUAUCUCCCUUCACUUACUCUCUUUUUGGACUCAGCCCACCUGCACCCAGGUGAUUAAAAAGCUUUAUUGUUCACACAAAGCCUGUUUAGUAGUCUCUUCACACGGACAUGCAAGAAAGUGGUCUCCACAGUGAGACAGGUAAAUCUCACAGUGUGGACAAGGUAAUCCAUUGAAAUACACAAAGAAAAACUAGCAACCACUACUUUUAUUUAUUCAUUACAUUACAAUUUUAAUUUUAUUCUUUAUGUAUAUUCUUUUGUUUUGGAUGUUUU